ACUCGAGUGGCGACGGGUGAGUAACGCGUGGGUAACCUGCCUUACACAGGGGGAUAACACCUGGAAACAGGUGCUAAUACCGCAUAAGCGCACAGGGCCGCAUGGCCCGGUGUGAAAAACUCCGGUGGUGUAAAAUGGACCCGCGUCUGAUUAGCUUGUUGGCGGGGUAGAGGCCCACCAAGGCGACGAUCAGUAGCCGGCCUGAGAGGGUGGACGGCCACAUUGGGACUGAGACACGGCCCAAACUCCUACGGAAGGCAGCAG
rnacentral:rRNA from 1 species